CCCCGCCUGGGGAGUACGGCCGCAAGGCUAAAACUCAAAGGAAUUGACGGGGGCCCGCACAAGCGGCGGAGCAUGCGGAUUAAUUCGAUGCAACGCGAAGAACCUUACCAAGGCUUGACAUGUUCUCGAUCGCCGUAGAGAUACGGUUUCCCCUUUGGGGCGGGUUCACAGGUGGUGCAUGGUUGUCGUCAGCUCGUGUCGUGAGAUGUUGGGUUAAGUCCCGCAACGAGCGCAACCCUCGUUCCAUGUUGCCAGCACGUCGUGGUGGGGACUCAUGGGAGACUGCCGGGGUCAACUCGGAGGAAGGUGAGGACGACGUCAAAUCAUCAUGCCCCUUAUGUCUUGGGCUUCACGCAUGCUACAAUGGCCGGUACAAUGGGUUGCGAUACUGUGAGGUGGAGCUAAUCCCAAAAAGCCGGUCUCAGUUCGGAUUGGGGUCUGCAACUCGACCCCAUGAAGUCGGAGUCGCUAGUAAUCGCAGAUCAGCAACGCUGCGGUGAAUACGUUCCCGGGCCUUGCACA
rnacentral:rRNA from 1 species